GUGGCGAGCCUUGGGUCCAGGUCCGUGGCGGCGCUGGUGGGAGGUGGGGUGGGCCCUGGGCUUUGGGUCCGAAAGCGACCGCGCGCGGCCCGGGCCCACGGAUGACGGUCCUGGCGGAGCCGCCAGCGUUUGCCGUAAACUCCCGAGAGCUCCGAGCGCAGCGCCCUGUCCCUGGGGCCCGGGGCCGGGGCCGGGCUCGGGCGGCACCCCCAGGCACGGCCCUCUGCAGGCCUCUGCCCAUUUGCCCGACGCGGCCGGCUCCGGCCCGGGGACCCGCACUGGAAGGCCAAACCCCCGCCGCAGCUGCGCUUGCUCCGCCCCACUCCGCGCGUGGCCGGGACCCUGAUGCCCGGCGGCUACCCUAGUGGACGAAACGAGGCUCGGUGCGUUCGACUGGGAAACGCUGGCCUCCCCCAGACGGAUCGCGGGCCCUCCUCCGCCCACGUGCCGGAGGGGCCGCGCUCGGCGCUGGGCACGGGUGGGGGGCGGGAAGCGUGGGUUUGGUCGUGCGGUUGGAAGAUGAUGUGCUGCACGGCCGGGAACACCGAACCCCCCGCAGCCCCGCGGUAACGCAGAGGGGCGCCGGCCUGACAGCACCGCGGGGCACUCGGUGUUCCUGGGUCGUUCUCUAACCAGACCGGCUUCCACACUGCGUUAGCACCCCGUCACUCACGGGCUUUCAUCUCGGGCAAGGCGCAGCGCGGCUCUUCUACCUCACCUGCCCUACCCAAAGUACCCACCUCCCAGCGUGAGGGUUUAACGAAACACGGGUUCGGUACGUCUAGACCCGCCCGCACCUGAUGAAGUUCUUCUUCCCAUUCUGAGAUCGCCCCGAUGUUGGGAACUUCGGAGAAUUCUGGACUCUUUGGCAUGGCCUUGAAGUCACUGUGCCACUGAAUACACAACCCAAGUGUCACAGGCUGACUUGGCUAGUGAGCUGCAAACACCCUUGUCACGGGAUAGUGAAGCCCCAAAGCAGGGAAAAGCACACUGCCGCCAGCCCCCAGAACCCUAUGAACUGAAGGGGGGAUGGGAUGAGCAACGGAGGUUUGGAAAUCAAAGAAAGGACCAGAGCCACAGGAUCCUGGUCUGUCGGUCUUCCACCACUCCCGGUUCUGAAAUCACUGCAUGCUUUAUGGGUAUAAUAAAGAAUUUGCAAAUUCCA